UAAUUUAUUUGGGGCUGAUCCUCGUCUAGCUAUGACAGACCCACACUUAACUGCUCAGAAUCAUCUGUUAUUGCAAAUCUGACUACAUUAUUAACAUUGAAAAAAUAGAAGACAAUUACUGUAUGAACAAUAACUUUUUGA
rfam:Populus trichocarpa scaffold_14_contig_109, whole genome shotgun sequence.